rnacentral:hammerhead_ribozyme from 1 species
CCACUGCUGAGGAGUCCCACACUAGGACGAAACGGCCGUUCAGUGC